rnacentral:rRNA from 1 species
GAUGAACGCUAGCUACAGGCUUAACACAUGCAAGUCGAGGGGUAACAAGAGGAAAGCUUGCUUUUCUUGUUGACGACCGGCGCACGGGUGAGUAACGCGUAUCCAACCUGCCUAUAACUAGGGAAUAACCUUGCGAAAGUAAGACUAAUACCCUAUGAUUUCCUUUGAUGACAUCAGAUUAGGAAUAAAGAUUUAUCGGUUAUAGAUGGGGAUGCGUCUGAUUAGCUUGUUGGCGGGGUAACGGCCCACCAAGGCAACGAUCAGUAGGGGUUCUUAGAGGAAGGUCCCCCACAUUGGAACUGAGACACGGUCCAAACUCCUACGGGAGGCAGCAGUGAGGAAUAUUGGUCAAUGGGCGGAAGCCUGAACCAGCCAAGUAGCGUGCAGGAUGACGGCCCUAUGGGUUGUAAACUGCUUUUAUACAGGAAUAAAGUUAGCCACGUGUGGUUAUUUGUAGGUACUGUAUGAAUAAGGACCGGCUAAUUCCGUGCCAGCCGCCGCCGUAAUAC